rnacentral:rRNA from 1 species
GACGAACGCUGGCGGCGUGCUUAACACAUGCAAGUCGAACGGAAAGGCCCUGCUUUUGUGGGGUGCUCGAGUGGCGAACGGGUGAGUAACACGUGAGUAACCUGCCCUUGACUUUGGGAUAACUUCAGGAAACUGGGGCUAAUACCGGAUAGGAGCUCCUGCUGCAUGGUGGGGGUUGGAAAGUUUCGGCGGUUGGGGAUGGACUCGCGGCUUAUCAGCUUGUUGGUGGGGUAGUGGCUUACCAAGGCUUUGACGGGUAGCCGGCCUGAGAGGGUGACCGGCCACAUUGGGACUGAGAUACGGCCCAGACUCCUACGGGAGGCAGCAGUGGGGAAUAUUGCACAAUGGGCGGAAGCCUGAUGCAGCAACGCCGCGUGCGGGAUGACGGCCUUCGGGUUGUAAACCGCUUUCGCCUGUGACGAAGCGUGAGUGACGGUAAUGGGUAAAGAAGCACCGGCUAACUACGUGCCAGCAGCCGCGGUGAUACGUAGGGUGCGAGCGUUGUCCGGAUUUAUUGGGCGUAAAGGGCUCGUAGGUGGUUGAUCGCGUCGGAAGUGUAAUCUUGGGGCUUAACCCUGAGCGUGCUUUCGAUACGGGUUGACUUGAGGAAGGUAGGGGAGAAUGGAAUUCCUGGUGGAGCGGUGGAAUGCGCAGAUAUCAGGAGGAACACCAGUGGCGAAGGCGGUUCUCUGGGCCUUUCCUGACGCUGAGGAGCGAAAGCGUGGGGAGCGAACAGGCUUAGAUACCCUGGUAGUCCACGCUGUAAACGGUGGGUACUAGGUGUGGGGUCCAUUCCACGGGUUCCGUGCCGUAGCUAACGCUUUAAGUACCCCGCCUGGGGAGUACGGCCGCAAGGCUAAAACUCAAAGGAAUUGACGGGGCCCCGCACAAGCGGCGGAGCAUGCGGAUUAAUUCGAUGCAACGCGUAGAACCUUACCUGGGUUUGACAUGGAUCGGGAGCGCUCAGAGAUGGGUGUGCCUCUUUUGGGGUCGAUUCACAGGUGGUGCAUGGCUGUCGUCAGCUCGUGUCGUGAGAUGUUGGGUUAAGUCCCGCAACGAGCGCAACCCUUGUUCACUGUUGCCAGCACGUUAUGGUGGGGACUCAGUGGAGACCGCCGGGGUCAACUCGGAGGAAGGUGGGGGUGACGUCAAGUCAUCAUGCCCCUUAUGUCCAGGGCUUCACGCAUGCUACAAUGGCUGGUACAGAGAGUGGCGAGCCUGUGAGGGUGAGCGAAUCUCGGAAAGCCGGUCUCAGUUCGGAUUGGGGUCUGCAACUCGACCUCAUGAAGUCGGAGUCGCUAGUAAUCGCAGAUCAGCAACGCUGCGGUGAAUACGUUCCCGGG